CAUGCAAGUCGAACGCAGUAGCAAUACUGAGUGGCAAACGGGUGAGUAUAAUGUGGGAAUCUGCCUUUUGGUUUGGAAUAACACGGGGAAACCUGUGCUAAUACCGGAUAAGCCCUCACGGGGAAAGUUUUAACGCCGAAAGAUGAGCCUGCACUUGAUUAGCUAGUUGGUAAGGUAAAAGCUUACCAAGGCAACGAUCAAUAGCUGUUCUUAGAGGAAGACCAGCCACAUUGGGACUGAGACACGGCCCAGACUCCUACGGGAGGCAGCAGUGGGGAAUCUUGCACAAUGGGGGAAACCCUGAUGCAGCGAUGCCGCGUGAGUGAAGAAGGCCCUUGGGUUGUAAAACUCUUUCGUCGGGGAA
rnacentral:rRNA from 1 species